UGUUAAAAAUUUUAUCAACUCGUAUUGUUAAAUACCGAUGAAAAAAUCAGAUAAUGACAUAUGGCACACUACAUGUACCUCAUGCUAAUAUAUAAAGACCAGUUUUUAAUAGUAGAAAUGGAUAAAAUUUUUAGCA
rfam:Gossypium raimondii Chr01_contig_530, whole genome shotgun sequence.